rnacentral:rRNA from 1 species
ACGGAGGAUGCGAGCGUUAUCCGGAUUUAUUGGGUUUAAAGGGUGCGUAGGUGGACUGUUUAGUCAGUGGUGAAAUGCUGAUGCUCAACGUUAGCAUUGCCGUUGAAACUGACAGUCUUGAGAGUGAUUGAGGCAGGCGGAAUGUGUGGUGUGGGGGUGAAAGAAGAAGAACCCCCGAAGAACCCCAGUGGCGAGGGCAGCUAACAAAGCCACAACUGACACUGAAGCACGAAAGCGUGGGGAUCAAACAG